UCCCUGGUGGCUCAGACGGUAAAGCGUCUGCCUGCAAUGCAGGAGACCUGGGUUCAAUUCCUGGGUAGGGAA
rnacentral:tRNA from 1 species